rnacentral:piRNA from 1 species
UCCAAGUCCAUUAAGUCCUCACAAGGCUG